UCAAGCUACUAAGGGCAUACGGUGGAUGCCUAGGCGCCAAGAGCCGAAGAAGGACGCGGUAAGCUGCGAAAAGCCACGGGGAACUGCAAGCAAGUAUUGAUCCGUGGAUAUCCGAAUGGGGAAACCCGGCCAUCGUCAUGGAUGGUCACCCGCAAGGGAGGGAACCUGGGGAACUGAAACAUCUAAGUACCCGGAGGAAGAGAAAUCAAACGAGAUGCCCACAGUAGCGGCGAGCGAAGAGGGCAGAGCCCAAACCGAGAAGCUCCGGCUUUUCGGGGUUGAGGACCGGCAGAAUCGAAGUCAGGCCUAGUCGAAUUACCUGGAAAGGUAAGCGAGAGAGGGUAAAAGCCCCGUAGACGAAAGGCAGAGCAGAGAGGCCGAGAUCCAGAGUACCACGAAGCACGAGGAAUUUUGUGGGAAGCAGGGGGGACCACCCUCCAAGGCUAAAAACUACUUGGCGACCGAUAGCGCAUAGUACCGUGAGGGAAAGGUGAAAAGAACCCCGGGAGGGGAGUGAAAUAGUACCUGAAACCGUAUGUCUACAAGCAGUCGAAGCGAAAGCGACGGCGUGCCUAUUGAAGAAUGAACCAACGAGUUAUCUGCACUAGCGAGGUUAAGUGGAAGACACGGAGCCGCAGCGAAAGCGAGUCUUAAGAGGGCGCUAGUUAGUGUAGGUAGACCCGAAACCGCAGUGAUCUACCCAUGUCCAGGUUGAAGCGCAGGUAAAAUUGCGUGGAGGACCGAACCGGUGAGCGUUGAAAAGCUUUCGGAUGAGAUGUGGGUAGGGGUGAAAUUCCAAUCGAACGCGGAGAUAGCUGGUUCUCCCCGAAAUAGCUUUAGGGCUAGCCUGAGGUAGUAAGUAUAGGCGGUAGAGCACUGAUCGGGCUAGGGGCCGUAAAGGUUACCGAACCCUGUCAAACUCCGAAUGGAUAUACUGUAGAGCCUUGGAGUCAGACUACGAGUGAUAAGAUCCGUGGUCAAAAGGGAAACAGCCCAGACCACCAGCUAAGGUCCCCAAUGUCGUACUAAGUGGAAAAGGAUGUGGGGUUUCAUAAACAACCAGGAUGUUGGCUCAGAAGCAGCCACCAUUUAAAGAGUGCGUAAUAGCUCACUGGUCGAGAGACCCUGCGCCGAAGAUUCCCGGGGCUAAAGUACGAAACCGAAGCUGUGGCUGUAUACGUAAAGUAUACGGGGUAGGGGAGCGUUCCCAUAGGGUAGAAGUCGAACUGGAAGGUUCGGUGGACUUGUGGGAAGUGAGAAUGUUGGUAUGAGUAGCGAAAAGAAAGGUGAGAAUCCUUUCCACCGAAAGCAUAAGGAUUCCUGAGCAACGAUCGUCGUCUCAGGGUAAGUCGGGACCUAAUCCGAGGCAGAGAGCGUAGGAGAUGGACAACUGGUUGAUAUUCCAGUACCGGUAGUAAUUGUUUGAGCAAUGGAGUGACACAGAAGGGCAGGCAAGCAUGCGAAUGGAAGAGCAUGUGUAAGCGUGUAGGGUGGUGCAUAGGCAAAUCCGUGCACUGAAAGCCUGAGGCGUGAUGCGGAGUGAGCAGAGAUGCGAGCGAAGUUGUUGACCCCACACUGUCGAGAAAAGCUUCUAGUGAGAGAGCUACCGCCCGUACCGUAAACCGACACAGGUAUGCGGGGAGAGAAUCCUAAGGUGCGCGGGAGAACCCUCGUUAAGGAACUCGGCAAAAUGUACCCGUAACUUCGGGAUAAGGGUAGCCACUGUUGUGAAGUCCCAUGCGGAUGGAGCAUAGAGUGGUCGCAGAGAAGAGGCCCAAGCGACUGUUUACCAUAAACACAGGUGCCUGCUAAAGCGAAAGCUGACGUAUAGGUGCUGACACCUGCCCAGUGCCGGAAGGUUAAGGAAGGAUGUUCGGAUUAGUCCAAAGCAUUCGACUGAAGCCCCGGUGAACGGCGGCCGUAACUAUAACGGUCCUAAGGUAGCGAAAUUCCUUGUCGGGUAAGUUCCGACCCGCACGAAAGGUGUAACGAUUUGGGCACUGUCUCAACGAGGGACCCGGUGAAAUUGAAAUACCUGUGAAGAUGCAGGUUACCCGCGACUGGACAGAAAGACCCCAUGGAGCUUUACUGUAACCUGACAUUGGGUUUUGAUACAUUACGUACAGGAUAGGUGGGAGGCUUGGAAAGUUGGACGCUAGUCUGACUGGAGCCGACGUUGGGAUACCACCCUUGAUGUAUUGAAAUUCUAACCGCGAGAGUAACGAAAUCCGGGACAGUGUCAGGCGGGCAGUUUGACUGGGGCGGUCGCCUCCGAAAGAGUAAC
rnacentral:rRNA from 1 species